rnacentral:rRNA from 1 species
AUUGAACGCUGGCGGCAGGCCUAACACAUGCAAGUCGAACGAGUGGCGGACGGGUGAGUAAUGUCUGGGGAACUGCCUGAUGGAGGGGGAUAACUACUGGAAACGGUAGCUAAUACCGCAUACCAUCGGAUGUGCCCAGAUGGGAUUAGCUAGUAGGUGGGGUAACGGCUCACCUAGGCGACGAUCCCUAGCUGGUCUGAGAGGAUGACCAGCAACAUUGGAACGGAGACACGGUCCAGACUCCUACGGAAGGCAGCAUUGGGUAAUAUGGCACAAUGGGCGAAAUCCUGAUGCAGCCAUGCCGCGUGUAUGAAGAAGGCCUUCGGGUUGUAAAGUACUUUCAGCGGGGAGGCGUUACCCGCAGAAGAAGCACCGGCUAACUCCGUGCCAGCAGCCGCGGUAAUUC